rnacentral:rRNA from 1 species
AACGAACGCUGGCGGCGGGCCUCAUACAUGCAAGUCGAGCGCGAAAGUCCGCAAGGAUGAGUAAAGCGGCGCACGGGUGAGUAACACGUGGGUAAUCUACCUUUUUGGAUUGGAAUAACCUGUCGAAAGACGGGCUAAUGCCAAGUAAGUUCUUUGGAACGUGGAGUUUUGAAGAAGAAAGAUGGCGCAAGCUAUCGCCGAAAGAUGAGCCUGCGUCCCAUUAGUUAGUUGGUGGGGUAAUGGCUUACCAAGACAAUGAUGGGUACCUGGUCUGAGAGGAUGACCAGGCACACUGGAACUGAAACACGGUCCAGACUCCUACGGGAGGCAGCAGUAGGAAUAUUGCGCAAUGGACGAAAGUCUGACGCAGCCACGCCGCGUGAGUGAGGAAGGCCUU